UAGGUACACCAUUUUUUUAUUUUUUGGUCUUAGAAUUAAUAGAAGUGACACUAUGGGCGGUCUUAUCGCUGAGAGCGAUCUAUUCCGUCAAUUUAUUGUUGUACGGCCAAACCAGCAUCCAUUUACAGUAAUAUGGUAUUAAAAAGCGACGAGCAAAAAUAUAACUUUCAGUGAUGAAAAUAAACUUGAAAUUUCAAUGUUAAGCCUGGGCAGCUCCUUCGGCAGCACAAUACUGAGAAACUGCAGUUUUGGCACAAACGUCUCAAAAGGGAAUUGCUGGAAUCAAAAGUGUGAAAAGAGCAUCAAGUAGAACAAUGAAUAUCAUUAAGGCAUAAUUGGUGCCCGGUGCUGUGUGUAUUUGAAAUAAGGUGGUCCAGCGGCCGGGCGGGAGGAGCAGCUUAGCCCUCUGCGGCUUCGGCAAUGAAACCAGCAUGGGAGCCAACCUGUCUGUCUUGGCCUGAAAAUAAAUACCUUUAAUUAACUUAUGUCCACCAAAUGUCACUGAUUAAUUUCCAUCACAUUAUUAUAAAGAGGAAAACUUUGUA